ensembl:snoRNA
GGCCUCUUUGUGCUUACCACACGCAGUGUUCUUACACGGCCUGCAUAGAAAGGGGAUGCAGAGUAAGCCUACCCCACAUAGACCUCAGCCCAGGCCCUUUGCCUGGCUUAUAGUAUGAACAAGACGACUUGG